rnacentral:rRNA from 1 species
CGCUCCACUAGCGUAUCUUCAAGUUGUUGCGGUUAAAAAGCUCGUAGUUGGAUCUCGGCGGGCAGGGGGGGGUUCGCUCUUCAGCGCUACUGCCCCGCUUUGCCCGUGUGAUUGGCGGGGGUUUCGGGGUGCUCUUCGUUGAGUGGCUCGGAGCGCCGUCAGGUUUACUUUGAAAAAAUUAGAGUGCUCAAAGCAGGCUUUUCACGCUUGAAUAUUCGUGCAUGGAAUAAUGGAAUAGGAACUCGUUUCUAUUUUGUUGGUUUUCGGAAAUCGAGUUAAUGAUUAACAGGGACAAUUGGGGGCAUUAGUAUUCAGACGACAGAGGUGAAAUUCUUGGACCGUCUGAAGAAGGACGAAGGAGAAAGCAGGGGAAAAGAGGGGUUUCA